rnacentral:rRNA from 1 species
AACGAACGCUGGCGGCAGGCCUAACACAUGCAAGUCGAGCGCCCCAGCGAUGGGGAGCGGCGGACGGGUGAGUAACGCGUGGGAACGUGCCUCUUGCUACGGAAUAGCCUCGGGAAACUGGGAGUAAUACCGUAUGUGCCCUACGGGGGAAAGAUUUAUCGGCAAGAGAUCGGCCCGCGUUGGAUUAGGUAGUUGGUGGGGUAAUGGCCUACCAAGCCGACGAUCCAUAGCUGGUUUGAGAGGAUGAUCAGCCACACUGGGACUGAGACACGGCCCAGACUCCUACGGGAGGCAGCAGUGGGGGAAUCUUAGACAAUGGGCGCAAGCCUGAUCUAGCCAUGCCGCGUGAGCGAUGAAGGCCUUAGGGUUGUAAAGCUCUUUCAGUGGGGAAGAUAAUGACUGUACCCACAGAAGAAGCCCCGGCUAACUCCGUG